rnacentral:ncRNA from 1 species
AUAAAUGCUAAGAAAGAGAGUAGUAUGUUUUUAACCACCAUUCAGGGAGAAAAUGCCUUAGACUGAAAGCAUUUUUAUGGAAGGAAAAACGGAAUUCACUCUGGAGCAGACACUGGACCGCAAGAGACUCUUGUGAAGGUGUUCCGGUUUCGACCGUUACAGCAAUGAAGAUAAUAGUGGGGAUGUCUCACUAUUAACUAAGGGUGGUACCACGAGUCUUCGUCCCUUUU